GGAUGUGAGGGCGAUCUGGCUGCAACAUCUGUCACCCCGUUGAUCGCCAUGGUUGAUUCAGCUGAUCUGGCUGGCUAGGCGGGUGUCCCUUUGCUCCCUCACCACUCCAUGUGCGUCCCUCCCAAAGCCGCGUGCUAGGUCGCUCAGUCGAAGAGGAUGACCAGCCCCGAUAGAGGAGGACCGUUCUUCUCGGUCGAGGGUACACGAGUAGCUGUGCUCCCCUGCUAGAACCUCCAAACAAGCUCUUAAAAUAGGAGACAUUUUAGGAAUGUACAGAUGGAGCGACCAAGAGAGGUUUAAGAUU
rnacentral:snRNA from 1 species